CCUUGACCUGUACCCUUGAAAGAAAAUCAUGUAUUUGACAUCAUUGAAUCCAGGUUUUUUAGAAUUGAAUGUGAAACACUCCCACUCCUUCUGCCAGAUCCUAAGCUGCUUCUCUGAGAUCCAUACCAGGAGCAUGUGGAAAAGGUGCAGCCACCCUAGUGGAGACUGGCCAGAGCAGUUGCUAGCAACAGGAGUACAAAGCAACCAUGCUAGUUGAAGAGGUAGAAUUAUUGCAGUGGGAAAGAGAUUGCUUCCUGACCCUGGCUCCAGUCCAUAUGGCUCCCAUUCAGUCAGUAUCCUCACAUUAGCUGGCUCCCUCUUCUCCCCUAUUCAAGGGCCCAGCUACUCCAUUGGAAGGCACAAGCUCCUUAGCAGAUCAGCACGGGGUUAGCCAUCAGCGCACUUGAUGGUAUUCAUUGGACACAAAUCAAGAUGGUGCAGGGAUGACUGUGUGGGGAUUUGUUUAUCAAUAUAUUGUUGAUAAAGAAGUGACAUUGGUGGAAGAGAUGGGGUGGGAAUGGAUACUCAAUGGCUGGGGAUCUUUCCAGUAAAUAGAAUAUUUGUGGCAUAAUCCCGCCAUGAGUUCUCUGUAACUAAACCCCGUCAAUCUCAAUAGGAUCACUAUGCCUGGGCUACCAAGGUGCUCAGUUUCACUGGUCUUCUGAGUAUCCUUCAGAUCAUUUUGACUCUUGUUCUGUUUAUUUUGCUGGAAGAGGCUGACUAACUAUAAAGCAUGGGAUAGCCAGAGUAAGGAAAUUGUCUCACCUUAAUUUAUAUUCAUUUAUGAAACACUAUUGUUAAGUAUGCACACCAGUGUAAGAACUCUGU